UACGUAGGGUGCAAGCGUUGUCCGGAAUUAUUGGGCGUAAAGAGCUCGUAAGCGGUUUGUCGCGUCUGCUGUGAAAACUCGGGGCUCAACUCCGAGCUUGCAGUGGGUACGGGCAGACUAGAGUGCGGUAGGGGAGACUGGAAUUCCUGGUGUAGCGGUGGAAUGCGCAGAUAUCAGGAGGAACACCGGUGGCGAAGGCGGGUCUCUGGGCCGUAACUGACGCUGAGGAGCGAAAGCAUGGGGAGCGAACAGG
rnacentral:rRNA from 1 species